AUGGCUUGUGCUAUUCACCUAGUUGCCCUCUUCACAUUGAUACAACUCUAUUCAUUAGGUCCAUCUACUUCCCAUGCCCAUGGCGCCACUGCUUCUUCCGUCUGCCGUACGGACCAAGCUGCAGCACUUCUCCAACUAAAGCAGUCCUUCAUCUUCGACUACUCCACCACCACACUGCCGUCGUGGGAGCCUGGUACUGACUGCUGUCAGUGGGAGGGCGUCGGCUGUGAUGAUGGCGUAUCUGAUGACGGCGGCGGUGUCACUGUUCUUGACCUCCGUGGCUGUAGCUUCUACAGCUAUGGCUUGCAUGCCGUGGUCUUCAACCUCACCUCCCUGCGAUACCUCGACCUCAGCAUGAACGAUUUUGGUGGAACUCGCAUUCCACCAGCUGGCUUCGAGAAGCUAACAAAGCUUACUCACCUCAAACUUUCAUGUUCAGGCUUGUACGGUCAGAUUCCUAUCGCCAUUGGCAAACUCACAAACCUCGUAACACUGGAUUUUUCUGAUGAGCAUAAUAUUGAUGUUUCGUAUACAAGCCCUAGUUACUCUGCUUUCUUGAGUGGCUAUAACAAGCUGCUGCUACGAGGGCCCAGCCUUGAGACCUUACUGGCAAACCUCACCAACCUGAGGGAGUUGUACCUUGACGGAGUGGACAUAUCAAGUAGUGGAGAAGAGUGGUGCAAUGGUCUAGGUAAGGUUGUCCCCUAUCUUCAGGUUCUUAGCAUGGCAGAUUGUCACCUCCAAGGUCCAAUACACUCCUCUCUGUCAAAUCUCCGAUCCCUUACCACGGUCAACGUUCAUGACAAUGAGAUUUCUGGUGUGGUGCCUGAAUUCUUCACAGACUUUCUCAAUUUAAGUGUUCUUCAACUUGCGGACAACAGUUUCAGUGGUUGGUUUCCUCAGACAAUAUUUCAACUCAAGAAUAUAAGAGUGCUUGAUGUGUCAGGCAACAGUCAACUCUCGGGACAUUUACCAGAAUUUCCAAAUGGGUCUUCUUUCGAGACUUUGAAUCUACAGUCUACUAAUUUCUCUGGUAUCAAGAUGAGUUCAUUUAGCAACAUCCUGUCUCUGAGGGAGCUAGGUUUUGAUGGAAGGUCAAUUUUUGUGGACCAUACGGAUUUACUGUUCAACAAGCUCAACUCUUUGCAAAACUUGCAGCUCUCUUUUGCACAAUUUUCUGGGGAGUUAAGGCCAUUUUUCUUGUGGAUUAGUAGCCUUAAGAAUUUGACAAGCUUAGGACUCUCACAAUUUUCUUGGGGGUUAGGGCCAUUUUUCUCAUGUAUUAGUAGCCUCAAGAACUUGGCAAGCUUACAACUGUACGAUUGCUCUUCAUCCAAUAUAAUUCCCACCAUGAUUGGCAACCUCACCAACUUGAAAAUUUUGGAAAUAAGAUUUGGAUUCACUGGACAAAUACCGCCAUCAAUUGGCAACCUCAACAAGUUGACUUCCUUGACAAUCUCUGCUUGUGGCUUCUCAGGGGCAGUGCCAUCUUCAAUCGCCAAUCUCACUAAACUAAGAUCCAUGGAAAUCUCUGAGAAUAGUUUAUCAGGUCAAAUACCAACAUAUAUUGGACAUCUCAGCCAGUUGAUGUUAUUAACCUUUGCGGGCUGCAGGUUUUCUGGAAAAAUACCAAGUGUAAUUACCAAUUUGACUCAGUUGAUAUAUGUGGAUCUGUCGGAAAAUAACCUUAGAGGAGAGAUUCCAACAUCUCUAUUCGCUUCUCCAGCAAUGUUUUGGUUGGAUCUUUCAUCAAACCAACUUUCUGGACCGAUCAAAGAAUUUGGUGGACUAAAAAAUCUUAUGUUACUGGAUCUUAGCUCAAACAACUUAACAAGUUCAGUACAUUUGAGCUCACUUUGGAAAUUAAGAAAGCUUGAUUACUUGGGUCUCUCGAAAAACAAGUUGUCCAUUUUGGAUGGAGAAGGCAGUAAACCCAUGGUACCAUUACUCCCUAAACUCUUGAUAGUAGGGUUUGCGUCUUGCAACAUGACAACAAUUCCUAGAUUCUUGAUGCAUGUUAAUCAUAUCCAAAUGUUAGACCUUCCGAGCAACAAAAUACAUGGGAGUAUACCCAAAUGGUUAUGGCAGAGAUGGGAUGAUAGCCUUACAAGUCUAAAUCUUUCACACAACAUAUUCAAAGAUAUGCAACUUACUUCAUAUGUUCUCCCAUACAAUUAUUUGGAAUCUCUUGACCUAAGUUCCAAUAUGCUGCAUGGCCAGAUACCAAUGCCAAACCUGUUGACAACAGCUAACACCUACCCUAUAUUCUUGGAUUAUUCAAACAACAGAUUUUCUUCUGUUAUGUCUAACUUCACUACUUACCUUCGCCAAACUAGCUAUCUCAAAUUGUCACGAAAUAACAUAAGUGGGCAUAUACCCCAUUCAGUUUGCGACUUAAGCAACCUCGAAGUCCUUGACCUGUCAUAUAACAACUUCAGUGGCAUACUACCAUCUUGUCUGGUAGAAGAGAGCAAUUUGGGUGUAUUAAAUUUGAGGGAAAAUCACCUGGAGGGAACAUUGCCUUACCGUGUUGGUAAGCACUGUAAUCUGAAGACAAUUGAUGUACAUGGCAAUAAAAUUCAAGGGCAGCUGCCUAGGUCUCUUUCCAACUGUGCUGCCUUGGAGGUUCUAGACAUUGGAAACAAUCAUAUCGUUGAUACUUUCCCAUCUUGGUUGGGCAGGCUUUCUGAUCUUCGUAUCGUCGUUCUGGGAUCCAACCUAUUCUAUGGCUCGCUUACUUAUCCUAAAAGAGAUAGAAAAUCCAGGGAAUACUUCUCAAAGUUACAAAUCAUUGAUAUAGCCUCAAACAAUUUCUCUGGCAAUUUGGAUCCACAAUGGUUUGGGAGGUUCACAUCUAUGAUGGCAAAUUCCAGUGAGACGGGCAAUAUCUUAGGCAAUCAGAUAUAUUACGGAGACUACCAUGAUACUAUUGCAAUCACAUACAAAGGUCAAUAUGUGACUUUUGAAGAAGUCUUGACUACCUUAACCGCAAUUGACUUCUCAAAUAAUGCAUUGGAGGGUGACAUUCCGGAAUCAGUUGCAAGUCUAGUUUCACUACACAUAUUGAACAUGUCGCAUAAUGCAUUUACAGGAAGGAUUCCACCACAAAUUGGUGAGAUGCGUCAACUGGAAUCGCUUGACUUAUCAUGGAACAAGCUUUCUGGAGAGAUUCCACAAGAGCUAACAAAUUUAACAUUUCUUAGCACACUGAACUUGUCUGGAAAUAGGCUGGAUGGAAGGAUACCACAGUCACGUCAGUUUGCAACAUUUGAGAACACUUCAUAUGAAGGGAAUGCAGAGCUUUGUGGACCACCUUUGUGCAAACCAUGUGGUAAUUCAAGUAACCCAAAUGAGGCACAAGUAAGCAUAUCCAAAGAUCAUGUUGAUGUCAUUUUGUUUCUCUUUGCUGGGGUGGGCUUUGGCGUUGGAUUCGCGGCAGGUAUUCUGUUGAAAUGGGGUAAAAUCCGCAAAUGGUUCCGGGUUGUGUGA
rnacentral:rRNA from 1 species